rnacentral:rRNA from 1 species
AGAGUUUGAUCCUGGCUCAGGACGAACGCUGGCGGCGUGCUUAACACAUGCAAGUCGAACGAGAAUCUGUGGAAAGAGGAUUCGUCCAAUUGAAGCAGAGGACAGUGGCGGACGGGUGAGUAACGCGUGAGGAACCUGCCUUUCAGAGGGGGACAACAGUUGGAAACGACUGCUAAUACCGCAUAACACAUAGGUGUCGCAUGGCACUUAUGUCAAAGAUUUAUCGCUGAAAGAUGGCCUCGCGUCUGAUUAGCUAGUUGGUGAGGUAACGGCCCACCAAGGCGACGAUCAGUAGCCGGACUGAGAGGUUGAACGGCCACAUUGGGACUGAGAUACGGCCCAGACUCCUACGGGAGGCAGCAGUGGGGAAUAUUGGGCAAUGGGCGCAAGCCUGACCCAGCAACGCCGCGUGAAGGAAGAAGGCUUUCGGGUUGUAAACUUCUUUUGUCAGGGACGAGUAGAAGACGGUACCUGACGAAUAAGCCACGGCUAACUACGUGCCAGCAGCCGCGGUAAUACGUAGGUGGCAAGCGUUGUCCGGAUUUACUGGGUGUAAAGGGCGUGUAGCCGGGAGGGCAAGUCAGAUGUGAAAUCCACGGGCUCAACUCGUGAACUGCAUUUGAAACUACUCUUCUUGAGUAUCGGAGAGGCAAUCGGAAUUCCUAGUGUAGCGGUGAAAUGCGUAGAUAUUAGGAGGAACACCAGUGGCGAAGGCGGAUUGCUGGACGACAACUGACGGUGAGGCGCGAAAGCGUGGGGAGCAAACAGGAUUAGAUACCCUGGUAGUCCACGCUGUAAACGAUGAAUACUAGGUGUGCGGGGACUGACCCCCUGCGUGCCGCAGUUAACACAAUAAGUAUUCCACCUGGGGAGUACGAUCGCAAGGUUGAAACUCAAAGGAAUUGACGGGGGCCCGCACAAGCGGUGGAUUAUGUGGUUUAAUUCGAAGCAACGCGAAGAACCUUACCAGGGCUUGACAUCCUACUAACGAGAUAGAGAUAUGUUAGGUGCCCUUCGGGGAAAGUAGAGACAGGUGGUGCAUGGUUGUCGUCAGCUCGUGUCGUGAGAUGUUGGGUUAAG